rnacentral:lncRNA from 1 species
GCUGGUGCCACAGGGCCUUCAGACUGGGCCACCUCUCUGUGGUGACGUGUGACAGUGACACCUCCACAUCCCAACUUCUCCAAGGUGCCUCUGGAAUCCCUGGGGUGACAAUGAAAUCUCCCUAUCCCAACUUCUCCAAGGUGCCUCUGGAAUCUCUGGGGUGACAGUGACACCUCCCUAUCCCAAUUUCUCCAAGGUCAGAUGGUGCCUCUGGAGUGACAGCAAUGCCUCCCUAUCCCACCUUCUCCCAGGUCAGCUGCUGUCUCUGGAAUCUCCAGAGUGACAGAAAUGCCUCCAUAUCCCAACUUCUCCUAGGUCAGAUGAUGAUACCUCUGAAGUGACAGCAACACCUCUAUAUCCCAACUUCUUCUCCAAGGUGCCUCUGGAAUCUCUGGGGUGACAGUGACACCUCCAUAUCCCAACCUCUCCAAGGUGCCUCUGGAAUCUCAGGAGUGACAGUGACACCUCCACAUCCCAACNCUGGAGAAAUCCAUGGGAAUUCAGGGGAAGGGAAAGGUUUUCCACUAGAGAAAUCCAUAGGAACUAAGGGAAAGGUUUUCCCUUGGAAAAAUCCAUGGGAAUUCAGGGGAAGGGAAAGAUUUUCUCCUGGAGAAACCCAUGGGAAUUCAGGAGAAGGGAAAGGUUUUCCACUGGAGGAAUCCACCAGAAUUCAGGGGAAGGGAAAGGUUUUCCCUUGGAGAAAUCCAUGGGAAUUUAGGGAAGGUUGUCCACUGGAGAAAUCCAUGAGAAUUCAGGGGAAGGGAAAGGUUCUCCACUAGAGAAAUCCAUAGGAACUAAGGGAAAGGUUGUCCCUUGGAGAAAUCAGUGGGAAUUCAGGGAAAUGGAAAGGUUUUCCACUGGAGAAAUCCACGGGAAUUCAGGGGAAGGGAAAGGUUCUCUAUUGGAGAAAUCCAUGGGAAUUCAGGGGAAGGGAAAG